AUCCUUUUGUAGUUCAUAAACAGGAUGAUUGAGUUUUCAGGCGCAUGGGUGAGAUGUGCGUCCAAAAAAUCUUGUUAUAACAUCAGCACAUUACCAGUCUGACA